rnacentral:rRNA from 1 species
GAUGAACGCUGGCGGCGUGCCUAAUACAUGCAAGUCGAGCGAACAGACGAGGAGCUUGCUCCUUUGACGUUAGCGGCGGACGGGUGAGUAACACGUGGGUAACCUACCUAUAAGACUGGGAUAACUUCGGGAAACCGGAGCUAAUACCGGAUAAUAUUUCGAACCGCAUGGUUCGAUAGUGAAAGAUGGCUUUGCUAUCACUUAUAGAUGGACCUGCGCCGUAUUAGCUAGUUGGUAAGGUAACGGCUUACCAAGGCAACGAUACGUAGCCGACCUGAGAGGGUGAUCGGCCACACUGGAACUGAGACACGGUCCAGACUCCUACGGGAGGCAGCAGUAGGGAAUCUUCCGCAAUGGGCGAAAGCCUGACGGAGCAACGCCGCGUGAGUGAUGAAGGUCUUCGGAUCGUAAAACUCUGUUAUUAGGGAAGAACAAACGUGUAAGUAACUGUGCACGUCUUGACGGUACCUAAUCAGAAAGCCACGGCUAACUACGUGCCAGCAGC